GAGACAUUAUAAAGCAAAAUCCGCCGGAUAUUUAGAGAGAAAGAGAAUCUUUAUAGUUGAGUUUACAGCCAUGAAGGAUCAGAAUUUGGAUCUUUUCGACCCGAGAACGGCUGUUAUGGACCCUGAAUACUCACCGAGUAGUACCCGGGACCCGGAUUUUGGCUUUGCCUUCAACGAUGUCAACUUCUCCGAUCGUCUACUUCAGAUCGAGAUAAUGGCUGACUCGUUUGACCCUCAAUCUGAUUCAGAUAGUUUUCACUCUCAGAGUCUAGCUGAUUGGGCUCGUAAUCGCAAACGACGUAGAGAAGAUAUCAGGAAGGAAAUGGCUCUGGAUAUCACUGCUUGUCCUGAAGAGCAGGUUAUAAGUUGUAAUCAAAUUGAUACUGAAGAUGUUGAGAAUGAAAAUCAAGAUGAAUCAGUUGUUGCAAUGAUCGAAGAACCACACUCGGGAGAUGAAGCUACUAAUGCUGAUGAUUCAUCUUGGAACUUUGAUUCUCCAAGAAUUAUUAAAGUUGAAACCUUACAUAUCAGCUCCCCCAUUUUAGCAGCAAAGAGCCCUUUCUUUUACAAGCUCUUCUCCAAUGGGAUGAGGGAGUCUGAGCAAAGACAAGUAACU
rnacentral:misc_RNA from 1 species